UUCCAGACUCCUACGGGAGGCAGCAGUGGGGGAUAUUGGACAAUGGGGGAAACCCUGAUCCAGCGAUGCCGCGUGAGGGAAGAAGGUUUUCGGAUUGUAAACCUCUGUGGACAGGGACGAUAAUGACGGUACCUGUCAAGAAAGCCACGGCUAACUACGUGCCAGCAGCCGCGGUAAUACGUAGGGGGCAAGCGUUAUCCGGAUUUACUGGGUGUAAAGGGAGCGUAGACGGCAGCGCAAGUCUGAAGUGAAAUGCCGGGGCUUAACCCCGGAACUGCUUUGGAAGCUGUGCAGCUAGAGUGCAGGAGAGGUAAGUGGAAUUCCUAGUGUAGCGGUGAAAUGCGUAGAUAUUAGGAGGAACACCAGUGGCGAAGGCGGCUUACUGGACUGUAACUGACGUUGAGGCUCGAAAGCGUGGGGAGCAAACAGGAUUAGAUACCCUCGUAC
rnacentral:rRNA from 1 species